UUUCCGUAGGUGAACCUGCGGAAGGAUCAUUACUGAGUGAGGGCCCCUCGGGGUCCAACCUCCCACCCGUGUUUAACGAACCUUGUUGCUUCGGCGGGCCCGCCUCACGACCGCCGGGGGGCAUCCGCCCCCGGGCCCGCGCCCGCCGAAGCCACCUGUGAACGCUGUCUGAAGUAUGCAGUCUGAGACAAUUAUUAAAUUAAUUAAAACUUUCAACAACGGAUCUCUUGGUUCCG
rnacentral:misc_RNA from 1 species